GACGGAAGGUGCAAGCGUUGCUCGGAAUCACUGGGCGUAAAGGGUGCGUAGGCGGCCGCGCAAGUCUGGCGUGAAAGCCCCGGGCUCAGCCCGGGAAGGGCGCUCGAAACGGCGCGGCUCGAGUGCCGGAGGGGAGAGUGGAAUUCCUGGUGUAGCGGUGAAAUGCGUAGAUAUCCGGAGGAACACCGGUGGCGAAGGCGGCUUCCUGGACCGACACUGACGCUGAGGCGCGAAAGCUAGGGGAGCAAACGGG
rnacentral:rRNA from 1 species